AGACAAAAUGACAUGUCACCACAUUGAUAGCCAGAGUUGAUUUGGCUGAUCUGGCUGGCGAGGGGGCAGUCCCCUUCCUCCCUCAUCAUUCCAUGUGUGUCCCUCCCAAAGGUGCACACUUGGUGGAGGAGGACAACCUUCCCUGAAAGAGGAGGAUUGUUCUUCACUUGAGGGUAAUUGAGUAGCUGCAUUACACUGCUAGAACCUCUAGACAAGCUUUCAAGGUCCGUUUGUAGGAAAAUGUAGGAUAGUCAGGUUCUAAGACUCCAGACACAUCCCAAUGAGGUGCUACAUGUGGCAGUCUGCCUUUCUUU
rfam:Canis lupus familiaris chromosome 14, whole genome shotgun sequence.